UACGUAGGCAGCGAGCGUUUGUUCGGAGUUACUGGGCGUAAAGGGUGUGUAGGCGGCCUAUUAAGUUUGGUGUGAAAUCUCCCGGCUCAACCGGGAGGGUGCGCCGAAAACUGGGAGGCUAGAGUGCGGGAUGGGAGAGUGGAAUUCCUGGUGUAGCGGUGAAAUGCGUAGAUAUCAGGAGGAACACCGGUGGUGCAGACGGCUCUCUGGACCGUAACUGACGCUGAGACACGAAAAGCGUGGGUAGCAAACAGG
rnacentral:rRNA from 1 species